rnacentral:rRNA from 1 species
GACGAACGCUGGCGGCGUGCCUAAUACAUGCAAGUCGAACGAACCGCGACUAGGUGCUUGCACUUGGUCAAGGUGAGUGGCGAACGGGUGAGUAACACGUGGGUAACCUACCUCAUAGUGGGGGAUAACAGUCGGAAACGACUGCUAAUACCGCAUAGGACAUGGGAUCACAUGAUUCUGUGAGGAAAGGUGGCGCAAGCUAUCGCUAAGAGAUGGACCCGCGGUGCAUUAGCUAGUUGGUAGGGUAACGGCCUACCAAGGCAAUGAUGCAUAGCCGACCUGAGAGGGCGAUCGGCCACAUUGGGACUGAGACACGGCCCAAACUCCUACGGGAGGCAGCAGUAGGGAAUCUUCCGCAAUGGACGCAAGUCUGACGGAGCAACGCCGCGUGAGUGAAGAAGGUCUUCGGAUCGUAAAGCUCUGUUGUUAGAGAAGAACAGCGCAUAGAGUAACUGAUAUGCGUGUG